rnacentral:tRNA from 1 species
GGGCUCGUAGCUCAAUUGGCAGAGCAGCGGACUCUUAAUCCGCGGGUUGGAGGUUCGAUUCCUCCCGGGCUCA